AAGGGGCGUGUCCUCACCCGGUAGGAGGGAUUAAUUAGGAAAAGAGGCGUGGUUAAUUAAGGAAAGGGGCGUGUCCUCACCCGGUGGAAGGGAUUAAUUAGGAAAAGAGGCGUGGUUAAUUGGUUAAUUAAGGAAAGGGGCGUGUCCUCACCCGGUGGGAGGGAUUAAUUAGGAAAAGAGGCGUGGUUAAUUGGUUCAUUAAGGAAAGGGGCGUGUCCUCACCCGGUGGGAGGGGUUAAUUAGCAAAUGAGGCGUGGUUAAUUAAGGAAAGGGGCGUGUCCUCACCCGGUGGGCGGGGCCGGCGAAGGCGGGGCGGAGUCGGAAGAGCUGGAGCUGGAGUCGGAGUCGGAGUCGGACGAGGAGGAGGAGGAGGACGAGGAGGAAGAGGAGGAGGAGGACGACGACGAGGAGCUGCCCUUGGGGCCGGCGGCCGGCGGAGCACUGGGAGCACUGGGAGCACUGGGAGCACUGGGAGCCGCUGGUGUGCCGGUACUGGGAGCACUGGGAGCACUGGGAGAUGCAGCCACGGUGGUACUGGUGAUACUGGGAGCACUGGGAAUGCUCUGAGGUGCCGCACUGGUGGUACUGGGAGCACUGGGUGCCAUCAGUGUGCCCAUACUGGUGGUACUGGGAGCACUGGGAGCACUGGGAGCACUGGGAGCCGCUGCCACGGUGAUACUGGGAGCACUGGGAGCCGCUGCCAUGAUGGUACUGGGAGCACUGGGAGCACUGGGAGCCGCAGCACUGGUGCCACUGGUCAAACUGGGAGCACUGGGAGCCGCUGCCACGGUGAUACUGGGAGCACUGGGAGCCGCUGCCGUGAUGGUACUGGGAGCACUGGGAGCCGCAGCACGGGUGCCACUGGUCAAACUGGGAGCAGCGCUGCUCAUACUGGGAGCACUGGUCAAACUGGUGGCGCUGAGAACGGCAGCACUGGCGGCACUGGGAGCCGUGGAACCGGUCGUACUGGUGACACUGGUUAAACUGGGAGCCGUGGAACUGGUCGUACUGGUGACACUGGUUAAACUGGGAGCCGUGGAACUGGUCAAACUGGUGAUACUGGUUAAACUGGGAGCCGUGGAACUGGUCAAACUGGUGAUACUGGGAGCCACAGCACUGCUCAAACUGGUUGUACUGGGAACCGCAGCACCGGUCAAACUGGUUGAACUGGGAGCCGCAGCACCGGUCAAACUGGUUGAACUGGGAGCCGCAGCACUGGUCAAACUGGUUGAACUGGGAGCCGCAGCACUGGUCAGACUGGUUGAACUGGGAGCCGCCGCACUGGUCACACUGGUGACACUGGGAGCCGCAGCACUGGUCAAACUGGUUGUACUGGUGACACUGGGAGCUGUAGCAGUGGUUGAACUGGUCAAACUGGGAGCCGCAGCACUGCUCAAACUGGUUGUACUGGGAACUGUAGCACCGGUCAAACUGGUCGUACUGGUCAAACUGGUAGCCACGGCACCGGUCAAACUGGUCGAACUGGGAGUCGCAGCACUGGUCAAGCUGGUUGAACUGGUGACACUGGGAGCCGCCGCACCGGUCAAACUGGUCAAACUGGGAGCUGCCACACUGGUGAAACUGGUGACACUGGUGACACUGGGAGCCGCCGCACUGGUCAAACUGGUUGUACUGGUCAAACUGGGAGCCGCUGCACUGGUCAAACUGGGAGCCGCCGCACCGGUCAAACUGGUCACACUGGUCGCACUGGUGACACUGGGAGCCGCAGCACUGGUCAAACUGGGAGCCACAGCACUGGUCAAACUGGUCGAACUGGUGACACUGGGAGCUGCAGCACUGGUCAAACUGGGAGCCGCCGCACUGGUCAAACUGGUCACACUGGUCGCACUGGUGACACCCGGACUGGUCCCGCCGGUGGCUUUAGGGACAAUCCCAGCACCGACCCUCCCCGGACUGGUCGUACUGGUCAAACUGGGAGCGCUGGGAGCCGCGCCGGCGGCGGCUCUGGUGACGAUGACGCCGCCGCCCAAACUGGGAGCGCCGGUGGCCUUACUGGUGGCACUGGUCAUACUGGUGAUGCCGGUCGUGCUGGUUAUACUGGUGAUACUGGUGAUGCCGGUCAUGCUGGUCAUACUGGUGAUACUGGUGAUGCCGGUGGCUCCGGCGGCCCUGGCCAUGGCCGUGGCCUUGGCGUUGGCGUCGGCGCUGGCGCGCAGGAUGGCGGC
ensembl:lncRNA